UGGAGUGUGACUAUGGUGUUUGCGUUCUCGUCUGCGUCCAAACGCCAUCCUCACACCACGCA
rnacentral:pre_miRNA from 1 species